GACGAACGCUGGCGGCGUGCUUAACACAUGCAAGUCGAACGGUGACGAAUGGAGCUUGCUCUGUUCUGAUCAGUGGCGAACGGGUGAGUAACACGUGAGUAACCUGCCCCUGACUCUGGAAUAACUUCGGGAAACCGAAGCUAAUACCGGAUAUGACACAGAGCCGCAUGGUUUCUGUGUGGAAAGUUUUUCGGUUGGGGAUGGACUCGCGGCUAUCAGCUUGUUGGUGAGGUAAUGGCUCACCAAGGCGACGACGGGUAGCCGGCCUGAGAGGGCGAACCGGCCACACUGGGACUGAGACAGGCCCAGACUCCUACGGGAGGCAGCAGUGGGGAAUAUUGGCACAAUGGGCGAAAGCCUGAUGCAGCGACGCCGCGUGAGGGAUGAAGGCC
rnacentral:rRNA from 1 species